UACGUAGGGUGCGAGCGUUUAAUCGGAAUUACUGGGCGUAAAGUGUGCGCAGGCGGCCGAGCAAGUCGAGUGUGGAAAGCCCCGAGCUUAACUUGGGAAUUGCGCUCGAAACUACUUGGCUGGAGUGUGGCAGAGGAAGGUGGAAUUCCAGGUGUAGAGGUGAAAUUCGUAGAUAUCUGGAGGAACAACAGAGGCGAAGGCGGCUCUCUGGACUACUACUGACGCUGAGGCGCGGAAAGCGUGGGGAGCAAACAGG
rnacentral:rRNA from 1 species